rnacentral:misc_RNA from 1 species
GAUGAAGAACGUAGCGAAAUGCGAAAAGUAAUGUGAAUUGCAGAAUUCAGUGAACCAUCGAAUCUUUGAACGCACAUUGCGCCCGCUGGAACUCCGGCGGGCACGCCUGUCCGAGCGUCAUUUCAACCCUCAGGCCCCCCUUCGCGGGCGGGCCUGGUGUUGGGGCCCGGCCGCUACCCUGCGGCCGUCCCCUAAAUUCAGUGGCGGCCUCGCCGUGAUCCCUUGCGUAGUAAUGCACCUCGCACCGGAGAGCGUCGUGGCCACGCCGUAAAACCCCCAAUUUUCAAUGGUUGACCUCGGAUCAGGUGGGAAUACCCGCUGAACUUAAGCAUAUCAAUAAGCGGAGGA